AGUUUUCACCAAUUUCUCUUGGAGUUCCUUGAGAGAAUUCUGCAACAAAGGUUUCUCAGCAACCUCAGCCUUGAGAUUUUCAACCUCAGAUUUUAAAGUAGCUUCUCCUGCUUUUUGUUCCUUGAGCUGUUCUUCAAGGUUGGAUAUCACUUGCUGGAGUUCCUUCUUAGUAUUUUGGUGCACUUCAUUAAGCAGGCUUUUCUCGUCCAUAAGCGAAGAUAUCUGUGGCAAACGGGUGUAGCUAAUAACCAUAAGGCAACAAUAUUUAGCCGCAAAAUAAUUAAAAAAAAGUUUGGUGCAAACCUGAGAUUGUAGUUUCUGCCCUUCAGAAGAAUGCUGCUGCGUUAAAUCUUCAAUAGUCCUUUUUGCAGCCUGAAGUUGUUCAACUGAUCCGUCCUUCUCAGCAACGGCAAUGGAAUAUUUUGCUUCAAGGUCACUUAGUUUGGACUCGUAUGUAGACACAUCUUCUUUAAGCUUUAUAUUUGCCUCAGCUAGUUUUCUGCUCUCUUCUUCAAUGUGAGCUGACUUGGUUUGCAGUUCCUUGAGAGAAUUCUGCAAUAAAGGUUUCUCGGCAGCCUCAGCCUUGAGAUUUUCAACCUCAGAUUUUAAAGCAACUUCUCCUGCUUUUUGUUCCUUGAGCUGUUCUUCAAGGUUGGAUAUCACUUGCUGGAGUUCAUUCUUAGUAUUUUGAUGCACUUCAUCAAGCAGGCGGUUCUCAUCCAUAAGCGA
rnacentral:lncRNA from 1 species